GACGAACGCUGGCGGCGUGCCUAAUACAUGCAAGUCGAGCGAAGUUUUUCUGGUGCUUGCACUAGAAAAACUUAGCGGCGAACGGGUGAGUAACACGUAAAGAACCUGCCUCAUAGACUGGGACAACUAUUGGAAACGAUAACUAAUACCGGAUAACCGUAUUUCUCGCAUGGGAGAUAUUUAAAAGUUGGUUAUGCUAACACUAUGAGAUGGCUUUGCGGUGCAUUAGCUAGUUGGUGGGGUAAAGGCCCACCAAGGCGACGAUGCAUAGCCGACCUGAGAGGGGGAUAGGCCACACUGGGACUGAGACACGGCCCAGACUCCUACGGGAGGCAGCAGUAGGGAAUCUUCCGCAAUGGGCGAAAGCCUGACGGAGCAACGCCGCGUGAGUGAAGAAGGAUUUCGGUUCGUAAAGCUCUGUUGUUAGGGAAGAAUGGAUAUGUAGUAACUAUACAUGUAAGAGACGGUACCUAACCAGAAAGCCACGGCUAACUACGUG
rnacentral:rRNA from 1 species